rnacentral:SRP_RNA from 1 species
GCUGGGCAUGGUGGUGUGCACCUGUAGUCCCAGCUACUUGGGAGGCUGAGGCAGAAGAAUUGCUUGAACCCAGGAGGCGGAGGUUGCAGUGAGCUGACAUCACGCCACUGCACUCCAGCCUAGGUAACAAGAGCAAAACUCCAUCUCAAAAAAAAAAAAAAAAUGUGACCACCAGGGAGCAUGGGACCACCAGGUUGCCUAAGGAGGGGUGAACUGGUUCAGGUUGGAAACAAAGCGGGUCAAAACUUCUGUGCUGGUCUGUAGUGGGAUCACACCUGUGAAUUACCACUGCACUCCAACCUGGGCAACGUAGCAAGACUCUAUCUUA